CUAAUUUUUGUAUUUUUAGUAGAGACGGGGUUUCACCACGUUGGACAGGCUGGUCUCCAUCUCCUGACCUCAGGGGAUCCACCUGCCUCGGCCUCCCAAAGUGCUGGGAUGACAGGUGCGAGCCCCCGCGCCCGCCCGUGAGAAGCUUUAAGUCAGUGCAGUGGCACGUGGAUGGUGCAGGGCCGCAGGCUUCAGGUUCCUUUUGAUUCUGCAGGGACCGCCCCGCCAUUCGGGGUCAGAAAUACCUGUGUGUCAGGGGCAGGUGUGAGCCGUGUCCGUGUGCGUCCCGCGGUGGCUCACACCUGGAAUCCCACUGCCUUGGGAGACCGAGUGGGGAUGGGAGUUCAAGACCAGCCUCGGCAACAUACUGAUACCCCCAUCUCUUAAAAAAAAAAAAGAGCUGGACAUGGGUCCUGUAGUACCAGCUACUCGGGAGGCUGAGGUGGGAGGAUGGCUGCCCGUCUCGGCCUCCCGAGUAGCUGGGGUGACAGGUGCCGCCACCAUGUCCCUCUGAUUGUAAUUCUUCCCAGACACGAGGUUUCUCCAUGUGGCCCAGGCUGGGCUCAGACUCCUGAGCUCAGGGGAUCCCCCCACAUCGGCUUCCCGAGGCGCUGGGGGUCCAGGUGUGCAGACGGUUCUUCGUCUACACGCGUCCCUGGAUUUCCUGCCACGGGGAUACAAAUAGACGCCCGCGGUGUGGGGACCUGGCUCCGCACCUGCACCUGCGUGUUUCCUGCACGGGCCCCAGAACCCUGGGACGGGAUCCCUGUGGUGUGACGAAGUCAGUGGCCCCUCGGGCAGGGACAGCCGAUGCCCUCCACCUCCCCCAUCGCUUUUGUGCCUCCGCCCCCUCCCCACGUAGGCCCGGCGUCCCAUAGGCACCACAGCCUGGGGAGUCGGGGGCACCGCGGAGCCCUAAGCAUCAGGGUAAGCCGUGGUCUUAAGAAGUCAGUGUGUCUCACAGUCCCAAAAGGUUGGGGUACCCCCGGCCCUCAUGUUCAGAGCACUCUACGGUCCCACAGGGUUGGGGUGCCCCAUGGCCCUCAUGUUCAGGGUACCCUACGGUAUUAAAGUUGGGGUACCCCACAGCCAUCAUGUUCAGGGCACCCCACAGCCCUAAUGUCCAGGGCACCCCACAGUCCUGAAGGGUCAGGGCACCCCCGGAUGAGGGGAGGUCAGGAGGGUCAGUGCCCGGGUGGACGUCCUGUCACCCCACCCUGUGAGGCACGGCCCGUGUCCCUGACUCCGACGUUGGGGGAGGUGAGCACGGAGCAGGUUCCCGUGGCACAUUAUUUA